rnacentral:tRNA from 1 species
AAAGGAUUAGUUAAUUACAUAACAUCAGAAUGUCAAACUGAAAUAAUCAUUGAAGAUAUCCUUUU